CAUCUUUCAGACACCAGCUCUCCCUAGUCCAAACUCACUGUCCCCCACCUUUGUGCCACCUCCCUUCUGCAUCUUUCCUUACUCCUGAGACUCAGCUGUUUCAAGCGAGAAGCAGCGGGAUUGUGGGAGGUGGGGGUCAGGAGGCUGGAGCCAUAGUUCCUAGCCGUGCUGAUAUCUCCAUCUUUGUAUUAAUCUGUUAAAACAGCCCAGGAACCUGCCAAAGCCUUCCCUAACGAUCUGAAUGGUCAGCGAAGAAGUGACUAGUUACAAACAAAGAAGAGUCACUUCUGAGAAACCAACCCUCCAGUGCAUCCAAAAACAUAGAAGGUUCACCCCAGCUAUGUGGUUGUACAUGGAAAUUUCUGGAAAGACUUAAAGAACAUCAGGCAAACUGUCCAAGAAGCAAUACCAAGGCUCGUGUGGAGUAUCAAGGAUGCUGGCAAGUGUUUAACUGUCUACCACAUGCCUUAGCUCAUUGCUAUUUCUCAACUACCCCCAACAUACACAGGCUAAUUAGGCCAAAGGCUCCUGGGAACUGGGACUGUCUAAUUCUACUGAGUUGGGCUAAUUGAUUCUGAAAAAGGCCCAUCUGUAUGAAAUCCAUAUGUCCAUACUGUCUUGAGCAUGCGCUAGAAGUCUGAUCUUACAGAAGUGAAUAUCACCCACAUGCUAGCAGCUCACAAUAUCACUGGAUAAUAAUGCCAGUGGUAUUUUAAUACUACCAGCUGUAUCUAGUAUGUCUGGAGUGUCCUCUCUUUCUCCACGAUAGGGCACCUAUCUUUUUGUAGAUGUCAUACUGUUGAUCCUCCCAACAUGUCUACAGAGAGCAGUUACUACCAUUCCCAUCACAAAAGAAGACACUCAAGCUUUGAAGAGAUUGCAAUUUUCUACAAGCCUAGCAGAGCCAGGAGCCAAACUUGGAACUAGGGCCAUUUCUUCAUAUUCUCUCUUCCUGUCUUUGGCAUUGCACCUGGAAUCUAUGGAUGUGAUUUGGCUCUGCUGGAGACCCAUGGGAAGUGCUGCCUACUGUGAUCUACUACCAAGGACAAUGGGAAGGGGAAGGGAUGAGUCAGUCAUCCAAGGGCCUUUGGCCUCAGCAAACAAGAAGCAGGCAAAUCUUGUCUUGGGUAGACCUUCCUUAAUUCUAUUAGCAUAAUGAUGCUAUUGUUAUACUAGUCAUGCCAGUCACAUGUCAAGCUGUAUUGAUAAUGCCUGUCUAAAAGGUCUCAGAUAAUGGAAUCUCAGACACUAGUGUGAUCGAUGUUCAGAGUAAAGGACCAGUUUUCCAGUUACACCCAAAGGAAGAUCAUCCAAUCUAGUUAUGUAUAGUGUAGUCCGCAUCCAUUUUCAUCCACACACAGGGUUUGUGUGCAAGCUAAAAUGUCUCCA
rnacentral:lncRNA from 1 species